GAUGAAGAACGUAGCGAAAUGCGAUACUUGGUGUGAAUUGCAGAAUCCCGUGAACCAUCGAGUCUUUGAACGCAAGUUGCGCCCGAAGCCAUUAGGCCGAGGGCACGCCUGCCUGGGCGUCACACGUCGUUGCCCCCCCAUCUACUCCUUCGGGAUUGCGGGGGGCGGAUGAUGGCCUCCCGUGCGCCUUGUCGCGCGGUUGGCAUAAAUGCCAAGUCCUCGGCGACGCACGCCACGACAAUCGGUGGUUGCGAAACCUCGGUUGCCCGUCGUGUGCGGUCGUCGCGCAUCGAGGGCUCGAAAAAGUUGUCGGGCUCCGGCUCGGCUUUCAACGCGACCCCAGGUCAGGCGGGGUUACCCGCUGAAUUUAAGCAUAUCAAUAAGCGGAGGA
rnacentral:misc_RNA from 1 species